AGUGGAUGGGGAGCAACCUAGUUGUGCGUGUGUAAAGGUAGUGCCAAGAAAAGCGGUGAUCAUGAUGAAAAUCAAUUCCCGGUACCCGAAACCGACACAGGUGGGCAAGUAGAGAAUACUAAGGGGCGCGAGGUAACUCUCUCCAAGGAACUCGGCAAAAUGACCCCGUAACUUAGGGAGAAGGGGUGCCACCGAGAGGUGGUCGCAGUGAAGAGGCCCAGGCGACUGUUUAGCAAAAACAUAGGUCUCUGCAAACUCGAAAGAGGAGGUAUAGGGGCUGACGCCUGCCCAGUGCCGGAAGGUUAAAGAAGUUGGUCAGUCUUAGGAUGAAGCUAGCGACUGAAGCCCCGGUGAACGGCGGCCGUAACUAUAACGGUCCUAAGGUAGCGAAAUUCCUUGUCGGGUAAGUUCCGACACGCACGAAAGGCGUAACGAUCUGGGCGCUGUCUCGGAGAGAGGCUCGGCGAAAUAGGAUUGUCUGUGAAGAUACGGACUACCUGCAUUUGGACAGAAAGACCCUAUGAAGCUUUACUAUAGCUUGGAAUUGUGUUCGGGCUUCCUGUGCGCAGGAUAGGUGGGAGGCGAAGAAGGUAUUCUUGUGGGGAUACUGGAGCCAACGGUGAGAUACCACUCUCAGGAGGCUAGAAUUCUAACUUAAUUAAGGACAGUUUCAGGUGGUAGUUUGACUGGGGCGGUCGCCUCCAAAAAGGUAACGGAGGCGUACAAAGGUUCCCUCAGACUGGUUGGAAAUCAGUCGCAGAGUGCAAAGGCAGAAGGGAGCUUGACUGCGAGAAGUACAGUUCGAGCAGGGUGGAAACACGGUCUUAGUGAUCCGACGGUGCUGUGUGGAAGGGCCGUCGCUCAACGGAUAAAAGUUACUCUAGGAUAACAGGCUGAUCUCCCCCAAGAGUUCACAUCGACGGGGAGGUUUGGCACCUCGAUGUCGGCUCAUCGCAACCUGGGGCGGAAGUACGUCCCAAGGGUUGGGCUGUUCGCCCAUUAAAGCGGUACGUGAGCUGGGUUCAGAACGUCGUGAGACAGUUCGGUCCAUAUCCGAUGUAGGCGUGAGAAUAUUGAGAGGAGCCUUCCUUAGUACGAGAGGACCGGGAAGGACGCACCGCUGGUGUACCUGUUAUGAUGCCAAUUGUAAACGCAGGGUAGCCAAGUGCGGAGAGGAUAACCGCUGAAAGCAUCUAAGUGGGAAGCCCACCUCAAGAUGAGUAUUCUGGUGUAAGGUCACGGGAAGACGACCCGUAAAUAGGCACGAGGUGGAAGUGCAGAGAUGUAUGAAGCCGAAGUGUACUAAUAGACCGUCGGCUUGACCG
rnacentral:rRNA from 1 species